rnacentral:snRNA from 1 species
AUACUUACCUGGCAGGGGAGAUACCAUGAUCACAAAGGUGGUUUUCCCAGGGCGAGGCUUAUCCAUUGCACUCCGGAUGUGCUGACCCCUGCGAUGUCCUCAAAUGUGGGAAACUCGACUGCAUAAUUUGUGGUAGUGUCGGACUGUGUUCUUGCUUUCCCCUG